rnacentral:rRNA from 1 species
UUGGUGAUGGCUCUGAUUGAAUGCUGUCCAAGUGCUUGACACAUGCUAAUCGUACGUUUUAAUUGCUAUCCCUUUGGGAAGGCGCAAGCUCGUAAGCAAUUAAAAAGUGGUGUACAGGUGAGUAUAAUGAUAUUCUUCGCCGGCCUUAAAGUGGAGGUAAAUCCUUCAUAA